GGUGGUAUGGUCGAGUGGUAAGGCGGAGGACUACAAAUCCUUUUGUCCUCAGUUCAAAUCUGAGUGUCGCCU